GUUUUUCUAAAUUAUUGGAAAAGCUUAUGUAUAAGAGGUUAAUUAGCCACAUAGAAAAAAAUAAAAUAUUAACACAAAAUCAGUAUGGUUUUAGGAAAAAUAGAUCUACUGAACUUGCAAUCAUUGAACUUGUUGACAAAAUCACCCAAGCAAUCGAUGAAGGAGAAUACACAAUAGGUAUCUUCCUCGACUUGUCAAAAGCCUUUGACACAAUUAAUCACAAGAUUCUGAUUCAAAAACUAGAACACUAUGGUAUACGCGGAAUAACAAGACAGUGGUUUGAAGAUUACUUAAAAAACAGAAAACAGAUUGUUAAAUAUAACCAAGUUAAAUCAAAAGCAAUGAUAAUUAAAAGUGGUGUCUCACAGGGGUCAAUUCUUGGACCAAUUUUAU